rnacentral:lncRNA from 1 species
AAGGAAUGGUAUACUCCUGUCCUUGGUCAUAUUCAUCGCAUUGCCUCCCUGUUCGUGGUGGGUCAGGUGUCACAGACUUUGGAGUCACAGGAUCUACUUUAACAAUCAUUGUAUCAGUUGUUUCAGGUAAAUCUUGCUCAGUUUUAUCACCCUGUUUGGGUUGUUGCUGCUGAUGAAAUAUUUUAGAAAUAACAUACUCCCCAUCUUUUUCAUCCUCCUCAGUUCCUAGAUGAUAUUGGUGCAUCACCCAAUUUGUUUUCUCAGAUUUUCCACCUUUGACAGUGGUCAUAUAGAGAACCAUAAUCUUCUUGCAUCCUUCCUGAACACCAUCCAAAAAGACUGGUUUGGUCCUAC